GACGAACGCUGGCGGCGUGCCUAAUACAUGCAAGUAGGACGCACAGUCUAUACCGUAGCUUGCUACACCAUAGGCUGUGAGUUGCGAACGGGUGAGUAACGCGUAGGUAACCUGCCUAUUAGAGGGGGAUAACUAUUGGAAACGAUAGCUAAUACCGCAUAACAGUAUGUAACACAUGUUAGAUGCUUGAAAGAUGCAAUUGCAUCGCUAGUAGAUGGACCUGCGUUGUAUUAGCUAGUAGGUAGGGUAAUGGCCUACCUAGGCGACGAUACAUAGCCGACCUGAGAGGGUGAUCGGCCACACUGGGACUGAGACACGGCCCAGACUCCUACGGGAGGCAGCAGUAGGGAAUCUUCGGCAAUGGGGGGAACCCUGACCGAGCAACGCCGCGUGAGUGAAGAAGGUUUUCGGAUCGUAAAGCUCUGUUGUUAAGGAAGAACGAGUGUGAGAAUGGAAAGUUCAUACUGUGACGGUACUUAACCAGAAAGGGACGGCUAACUACGUG
rnacentral:rRNA from 1 species